AUUGAACGCUGGCGGAAUGCUUUACACAUGCAAGUCGAACGGUAGAGGGGGCAACCCCUCGAGAGUGGCGAACGGGUGAGUAAUAUAUCGGAACGUGCCCAGUCGUGGGGGAUAACGUAGCGAAAGUUACGCUAAUACCGCAUACGAUCUAAGGAUGAAAGCGGGGGAUCGCAAGACCUCGCGCGAUUGGAGCGGCCGAUAUCAGAGUAGGUAGUUGGUGGGGUAAAGGCUCACCAAGCCAACGAUCUGUAGCUGGUCUGAGAGGACGACCAGCCAAACUGGAACUGAGACACGGGCCAGACUCCUACGGGAGGCAGCAGUGGGGAAUUUUGGACAAUGGACGCAAGUCUGAUCCAGCCAUUCCGCGUGCAGGAUGAAGGCCCUCGGGUUGUAAACUGCUUUUGUACGGAACGAAAAGGUCUCUCUUAAUACGGGGGACUCAUGACGGUACCGUAAGAAUAAGCACCGGCUAACUACGUGCCAGCAGCCGCAGUAA
rnacentral:rRNA from 1 species